GCAAACGUUAUUUUUCAUGUAGCCUUGAAAACAGACAUUCCUUUCUCCUUCUUUCUUCCAAAACCCUUCCCCAAUGUCCCAAGCUUCUUCUCCACCACCCACAACCACCACGGACCGCCGUUGUUCUCCGUUGAAAUCCCACACCGAGAGGAACCCUUCAAUCGGAGCGGAAUCUUUCAAGCUUGUCUCGCGGUUUCAGUAGAGAAUGAAGCCCAAUCUGACCUUUGCGGUUUUCUUCGAGAGACUUGCGUUGGACCGAUAAGCGUGAACGAAAGAGAGGCCUCUAAGUGACACAAAGAGGAACCGACGGGGAGCUCACGAUAGAAUGACAGCAAUAGGGUGCAGGAAGUGAGAUUCUGUUGAGGUAUCGCCAAGCCGACGUGAUGACAUUGGGAUUAUUUUGGGAGAGAGUUGUGUUUUGUUAAUCAACUCCUCCAUAGUUGGUUCAUGAUUCCUUUUGUUGAACUAAAGAUGUAAAACUCAGAUUUUUAAUUAUAUGUAUAAACAAGUUUAAUUUCCAUUA